UACGUAGGGGGCAAGCGUUGUCCGGAAUUAUUGGGCGUAAAGCGCGCGCAGGCGGUUUUUUAAGUCUGGUGUAUAAACCUUGGGCUCAACUUAAGGAGGCACUGGAAACUGGGGAACUGGAGUGUAGGAGAGGAAAGUGGAAUUCCACGUGUAGCGGUGAAAUGCGUAGAUAUGCGGAGGAACACCGAUGGCGAAGGCAAUCCCCUGGGCCUGCACUGACGCUCAUGCACGAAAGCGUGGGGAGCAAACAGG
rnacentral:rRNA from 1 species